GAGACACUAGGGGACACAGACACUAGGGGACACUGAGACACUAGGACACUCGGGACACAGACACUGGGAGACACUCGGGGACACUGGAAAACAUGGGGACACUGAGACACUAGGACACAUGGGGACACAGACAGUGGGAGACACUCAGGGACACUGGAAAACAUGGGGACACUGAGACACUAGGACACAUGGGGAUGCUGAGACACAUGGGGACAUUGUGAGACAUAGGGACAUUGGGAGACACUGAGACAUUGGGACACAGAGACACUCUGUCACCAAGUCUUCCAAUGUCUGUGUCCCAUGUCUCUCAGUGUGCCUAGUGUCCCCAUGUGUCCCAGUGUCCCUAUAUGUCCACAACUGUCCCCAUGUCUCCCAGUGUCCCCAAGUGUCUGUCUUCCAGCCAGUGUCCCCUAGUCUCCCAGUGUCCCCUAGUCUCCCAGUGUCUGUGUUCCCAUGUCUCUGUGUCACUAGUGUCUUAGUGUCCUCAAAUGUUUC